rnacentral:rRNA from 1 species
UAAAGGAAUUGGCGGGGGAGCACCACAUAGGUGGUGAAGCCUGCGGUUCAAUUGGAGUCAACGCCAGUAUAAUCUUACCCGGAGAGACAGCAGAAUGAAGGUCAAGCUGAAGACUUUACCAGACAAGCUGAGAGGUGGUGCAUGGCCGUCGCCAGCUCGUGCCGUGAGAUGUCCUGUUAAGUCAGGUAACGAGCGAGAUCCUCGCCACUAGUUGCUAUCAUUAUUCUCAGGAAUAGUGGGGCGAAUUAGUGGGACUGCCGUUGUUAAAACGGAGGAAGGAGGGGGCUACGGCAGGUCAGUAUGCCCCGAAACUCUGGGGCCACACGCGGGCUGCAAUGGUAGCGACAAUGAGCUCCAAACUCGAAAGAGAGUGGCAAUCUCUAAACGCUACCACAGUUUAUGACUGAGGGCUGUAACCCGCCCUCACGAAUAUGGAAUCCCUAGGUAACCGCGUGUCAUUACCGCGCGGUGAAUACGUCCCUGCUCCUUGCACACACCGCCA